rnacentral:rRNA from 44 species
CAACUUUCAACAACGGAUCUCUUGGCUCUCGCAUCGAUGAAGAACGCAGCGAAAUGCGAUACGUAAUGUGAAUUGCAGAAUUCAGUGAAUCAUCGAAUCUUUGAACGCACAUUGCACUCUCUGGUAUUCCGGAGAGUAUGCUUGUUUGAGUAUCAGUA